UACGGAGGGUGCGAGCGUUAUCCGGAUUCACUGGGUUUAAAGGGUGCGUAGGCGGGUAUGUAAGUCAGUGGUGAAAGCCUUCAGCUUAACUGGAGAACUGCCAUUGAUACUAUAUAUCUUGAAUACUGUGGAGGUAUGCGGAAUAGGUCAUGUAGCGGUGAAAUGCAUAGAUAUGACCUAGAACACCUAUUGCGAAGGCAGCAUACUACGCAGCGAUUGACGCUGAGGCACGAAAGCGUGGGUAGCGAACAGG
rnacentral:rRNA from 1 species